UACGUAGGGGCCAAGCGUUGUCCGGAAUCAUUGGGCGUAAAGGGCGCGUAGGCGGCUUUUUAAGUCAGAUGUUAAAUCUAUAGGCUCAACCUAUAGCCGCAUCUGAUACUGAUUAGCUGGAGAAUGGUAGAGGAAAGCGGAACUUUCGGUGUAGCGGUGAAAUGCGUAGAUAUCGAAAGGAACACCAGUGGCGAAGGCGGCUUUCUGGGCCAUUUCUGACGCUGAAGCGCGAAAGCCAGGGGAGC
rnacentral:rRNA from 1 species